CCUACGGGUGGCAGCAGUGAGGAAUAUUGGUCAAUGGGCGCGAGCCUGAACCAGCCAAGUCGCGUGAGGGAGGACGGCCCUACGGGUUGUAAACCUCUUUUGCCGGGGAGCAACGGGCGCCACGUGUGGCGUCACUGAGAGUACCCGGAGAAAAAGCAUCGGCUAACUCCGUGCCAGCAGCCGCGGUCAUACGGAGGAUGCGAGCGUUAUCCGGAUUUAUUGGGUUUAAGGGGUGCGUAGGCGGAUCGUUAAGUCAGUGUGAAAAUUGAGGGGCUCAACCCCUUCCCGCCAUUGAAACUGGCUUUCUUGAGUGGAAGAGAGGUAUGCGGAAUUCGUGGUGUAGCGGUGAAAUGCAUAGAUAUCACGCAGAACCCCGAUUGCGAAGGCAGCAUGCCGGCUUCCGACUGACGCUGAAGCACGAAAGCGUGGGGAUCGAACAGGAUUAGAUACCCGUGUAGUC
rnacentral:rRNA from 1 species